ACCCCCUCCUCUGCCACCCCAGUUUUUCUAUUUCUCCUCCAUCCACGCGCCGCCGUAGGCAUGGACGCAAAAUGCACCCAACCACCCUCCUCCGCCCUGAAACUCCGACGAACCACCAGCGCCGAUGGUAGUGGAACCGGAACCAUCAUACUCGGCAAGUAUCAACUUGGCCGUCUUUUAGGCCGUGGUAGCUUCGCUAAAGUCUACCACGGCCGUUGUUUAAACAAUAAUAGUAACAUCGCCAUUAAAGUUAUUGACAAAACCUCCAUUUCGGAUCCUUCAAUGGAGCCUCGGAUCAUCCGCGAAGUCUCCGUUAUGACACGUGUCAAUGAUCAUCCCAACAUCAUCCAACUCGACGAAGUUUUGGCUACAAAAACCAAAAUCUACUUAAUCAUGGAGAUCGCCACAGGCGGCGAUCUCUAUGCUAAGCUGAACCGUCGCGGUCGGUUCUCUGACUCGACCGCGCGGUUUUAUUUUCAUCAGUUGGUCUCAGCCCUCCACUUUUGUCAUCAAAAUGGCGUGACUCACCGCGACAUCAAGCUU
rnacentral:lncRNA from 1 species